rnacentral:rRNA from 1 species
GCAGUAGCCGCGGUAAUACGAAGGGUGCAAGCGUUACUCGGAAUUACUGGGCGUAAAGCGUGCGUAGGUGGUGGUUUAAGUCCGUUGUGAAAGCCCUGGGCUCAACCUGGGAAUUGCAGUGGAUACUGGGUCACUAGAGUGUGGUAGAGGAUAGUGGAAUUUCCGGUGUAGCAGUGAAAUGCGUAGAGAUCGGAAGGAACAUCUGUGGCGAAGGCGACUAUCUGGGCCAACACUGACACUGAGGCACGAAAGCGUGGGGAGCAAACAGGAUUAGAUACCCCUGUAGUCCCUGUCUCUUAUAC